AGAGUUUGAUCAUGGCUCAGAACGAACGCUGGCGGCGUGCCUAACACAUGCAAGUCGAACGCGAAAAGCAGUAAUGCUGAGUAGAGUGGCGCACGGGUGAGUAACACGUAACUGACAUGUCCCGGAGACAAGGAUAACUGUUCGAAAGGAUAGCUAAUACUUGUUAAGCCCACGGCCUUGGGGUUGUGGGAAAAGGGUUGGGAUUCUUCGGAACCAAUCGCUUUGGGAGUGGGUUGCGGCCCAUCAGGUAGUUGGCGGGGUAAAAGCCCACCAAGCCUAAGACGGGUAGCUGGUCUGAGAGGAUGAUCAGCCACACUGGAACUGAGACACGGUCCAGACUCCUACGGGAGGCAGCAGUGGGGAAUCUUGCGCAAUGGGAGAAAUCCUGACGCAGCAACGCCGCGUGGGUGAUGAAGGUCUUCGGAUCGUAAAGCCCUGUCGGAGGGGAAGAUGCUUGUGCAUGCUAAUAGUAUGCAUAGGUGACGGUACCCUCAAAGGAAGCACCGGCUAACUCUGUGCCAGCAGCCGCGGUA
rnacentral:rRNA from 1 species